rnacentral:rRNA from 1 species
GUGUCAGCAGCCGCGGUAAUACGGAGGUUGCAAGCGUUGUUCGGAAUGACUGGGCGUAAAGGGAGCGCAGGCGGCUUGUUAAGUCUGGAGUGAAAGCCCGGGGCUCAACCCCGGCGGGUCUUCGGAUACUGGCAAGCUUGAGUACGGAAGAGGAGAGCGGAAUUCCAGGUGUAGCGGUGAAAUGCGUAGAUAUCUGGAGGAACACCGGUGGCGAAAGCGGCUCUCUGGUCCGAUACUGACGCUCAGGCUCGAAAGCGUGGGGAGCAAACGGGAUUAGAUACCCCGGUAGUCCACGCCGUAAACGUUGUGCGCUAGGUGUAGGAGGUAUCGACCCCUCCUGUGCCGCAGCUAACGCAUUAAGCGCACCGCCUGGGGAGUACGCCCGCAAGGGUGAA